AAAAAAGGUAAGCUACUAAGAGCGAAUGGUGGAUGCCUUGACUGGUAAAGGCGAUGAAGGACGUACUAGACUGCGAUAAGCUACGGGGAGCUGUCAAGAAGCUUUGAUCCGUAGAUUUCCGAAUGGGGCAACCCAAUGUAUAGAGAUAUACAUUACCUAUAUAGGAGCGAACGAGGGGAAUUGAAACAUCUUAGUACCCUCAGGAAAAGAAAUCAAUAGAGAUUGCGUCAGUAGCGGCGAGCGAAAGCGCAAGAGGGCAAACCCAGUGCUUGCACUGGGGGUUGUAGGACUGCAAUGUGCAAGAGGUGAGUUUAGCAGAACAUUCUGGAAAGUAUAGCCAUAGAGGGUGAUAGUCCCGUAUGCGAAAAACAAACCUUAGCUAGCAGUAUCCUGAGUAGGGCGGGACACGAGAAAUCCUGUUUGAAGCUGGGUCGACCACGAUCCAACCCUAAAUACUAAUACCAGAUCGAUAGUGCACAAGUACCGUGAGGGAAAGGUGAAAAGAACUGAGGUGAUCAGAGUGAAAUAGAACCUGAAACCAUUUGCUUACAAUCAUUCAGAGCCCUAUGUAGCAAUACAGGGUGAUGGACUGCCUUUUGCAUAAUGAGCCUGCGAGUUGUGGUGUCUGGCAAGGUUAAGCAAACGCGAAGCCGUAGCGAAAGCAAGUCUGAAUAGGGCGCUUAGUCAGAUGCUGCAGACCCGAAACGAAGUGAUCUAUCCAUGAGCAAGUUGAAGCUAGUGUAAGAACUAGUGGAGGACUGAACCCAUAGGCGUUGAAAAGCCCCGGGAUGACUUGUGGAUAGGGGUGAAAGGCCAAUCAAACUUCGUGAUAGCUGGUUCUCUCCGAAAUAUAUUUAGGUAUAGCGUUGUGUCGUAAUAUAAGGGGGUAGAGCACUGAAUGGGCUAGGGCAUACACCAAUGUACCAAACCCUAUCAAACUCCGAAUACCUUAUAUGUAAUCACAGCAGUCAGGCGGCGAGUGAUAAAAUCCGUCGUCAAGAGGGAAACAACCCAGACUACCAGCUAAGGUCCCUAAAUCUUACUUAAGUGGAAAACGAUGUGAAGUUACUUAAACAACCAGGAGGUUGGCUUAGAAGCAGCCAUCCUUUAAAGAAAGCGUAAUAGCUCACUGGUCUAGUGAUUUUGCGCGGAAAAUAUAACGGGGCUAAAGUAAGUACCGAAGCUGUAGACUUGAUUUUAUCAAGUGGUAGGAGAGCGUUCUAUUUGCGCCGAAGGUAUACCGGUAAGGAGUGCUGGAGCGAAUAGAAGUGAGCAUGCAGGCAUGAGUAGCGAUAAUUAAUGUGAGAAUCAUUAACGCCGUAAACCCAAGGUUUCCUACGCGAUGCUCGUCAUCGUAGGGUUAGUCGGGUCCUAAGUCGAGUCCGAAAGGGGUAGACGAUGGCAAAUUGGUUAAUAUUCCAAUACCAACAUUAGUGUGCGAUGGAAGGACGCUUAGGGCUAAGGGGGCUAGCGGAUGGAAGUGCUAGUCUAAGGUCGUAGGAGGUUAUACAGGCAAAUCCGUAUAACAAUACUCCGAGAACUGAAAGGCUUUUUGAAGUCUUCGGAUGGAUAGAAGAACCCCUGAUGCCGUCGAGCCAAGAAAAGUUUCUAAGUUUAGCUAAUGUUGCCCGUACCGUAAACCGACACAGGUGGGUGGGAUGAGUAUUCUAAGGCGCGUGGAAGAACUCUCUUUAAGGAACUCUGCAAAAUAGCACCGUAUCUUCGGUAUAAGGUGUGGUUCGCUUCGUAUUAGGAUUUACUCCGAAAGCGAAGAAACUUACAACAAAGAGUCCCUCCCGACUGUUUACCAAAAACACAGCACUCUGCUAACUCGUAAGAGGAUGUAUAGGGUGUGACGCCUGCCCGGUGCUCGAAGGUUAAUUGAUGGGGUUAGCAUUAGCGAAGCUCUUGAUCGAAGCCCGAGUAAACGGCGGCCGUAACUAUAACGGUCCUAAGGUAGCGAAAUUCCUUGUCGGUUAAAUACCGACCUGCAUGAAUGGCGUAACGAGAUGGGAGCUGUCUCAAAGAGGGAUCCAGUGAAAUUGUAGUGGAGGUGAAAAUUCCUCCUACCCGCGGCAAGACGGAAAGACCCCGUGGACCUUUACUACAGCUUGACACUGCUAUUUGGAUAAGAAUGUGCAGGAUAGGUGGGAGGCUUUGAGUAUAUGACGCCAGUUGUAUAUGAGCCAUUGUUGAGAUACCACUCUUUCUUAUUUGGGUAGCUAACCAGCUUGAGUUAUCCUCAAGUGGGACAAUGUCUGGUGGGUAGUUUGACUGGGGCGGUCGCCUCCCAAAUAAUAACGGAGGCUUACAAAGGUUGGCUCAGAACGGUUGGAAAUCGUUCGUAGAGUAUAAAGGUAUAAGCCAGCUUAACUGCAAGACAUACAAGUCAAGCAGAGACGAAAGUCGGUCUUAGUGAUCCGGUGGUUCUGUGUGGAAGGGCCAUCGCUCAAAGGAUAAAAGGUACCCCGGGGAUAACAGGCUGAUCUCCCCCAAGAGCUCACAUCGACGGGGAGGUUUGGCACCUCGAUGUCGGCUCAUCGCAUCCUGGGGCUGGAGCAGGUCCCAAGGGUAUGGCUGUUCGCCAUUUAAAGCGGUACGCGAGCUGGGUUCAGAACGUCGUGAGACAGUUCGGUCCCUAUCUGCCGUGGGCGUAAGAAGAUUGAAGAGAUUUGACCCUAGUACGAGAGGACCGGGUUGAACAAACCACUGGUGUAGCUGUUGUUCUGCCAAGAGCAUCGCAGCGUAGCUAAGUUUGGAAAGGAUAAACGCUGAAAGCAUCUAAGCGUGAAGCCAACUCUAAGAUGAAUCUUCUCUAAGCUCUCUAGAAGACUACUAGUUUGAUAGGCUGGGUGUGUAAUGGAUGAAAGUCCUUUAGCUGACCAGUACUAAUAGAGCGUUUGGCUUAUCUUUAAUAAAGCAU
rnacentral:rRNA from 1 species